GUUGGCUACGCAUCUUUAUCUUCACCUUUAUAUUUGAAUCUACACUAUAAAAGCUUUGGGCAGCAACCGCCUAAUAACAUUAAAUUUUUACCUAAUUAAUAUGUACCUAACUUAUAUAAUAUUAAUAAUUCGCUCUCUGUCUUAAAGGGUGCAAUUAUUAAUUUAAAUGUUGUAAAAAAAGAGAAAAUACCUAUUAUUUUUAUCUUUUCAGUACACGCCAAAUAAAAGUUUUUUUUUUUAAUAUUUUUUUAUUUCUUUUAAAGUUAUCAAGAAUUGAACGUAAAAAGCUGUUCGGAUGCUAACAACAGCAAUAUUAGCGAUGCCUCUAAAGCAAGCGAAAAAUGCUCGAAAAUAUUUGAUGUUUUGGACACAAACAAGAGAAAUGAUCCAGGUUUAAAUGAAGAUAAUUUUACAUAUUCUGUUGAAAAUUAUUUUAAAGAUAAUCAAUCCACAAUCAAUGGUAACGACUUUAACUCAAUUUUGGAAACAGAAAGUUCUCAUAAUAAUGAAUCAGUAUCAGAGCCUAAUAACCUAGAUGGAUGUUCAGCGAGAGAUAAACAUUCAUGUAAACCUACCAAUUUUUUCCAAAAUCAAGAUGAUUCGAAGAUUUAUACCGAACUGCAACCAGUCUGUUUCGGUAAAAAUUAAGGCGAUGAGGUAAUGACCAAUGUCGAGACCAAUGUAGAAAAUACAAUACUAACAUCAGACGACCAUAACAUAUCAGCGCAAGAAGGUGAUCCCAAAAAACUGCAGUCAGUGGAUU